rnacentral:misc_RNA from 1 species
CUUUACCUCCGCCGGUGAUCAGAAGCCUGCGUCUCUAAAUUCUUAAGUCCCCUUGCUUAGUUGUUCAGGUUUGAAAGAAGCCACAACAUACAACUCUAAGCCAGAGACAUACAAGAGGGACGUUUCCGUAAACAAGUGUCAUUCCUGAACAGUCAGAAAUAACCAUGGGUGAAACCCUGGGAGAUGCUCUUAUUGACCCAGAGAGUGAGCCCUUCGCUGUCACAGUGUCUGCAAGGACCUCACAAGAAAUUACCAUGGUUGACACAGAGAUGCCGUUUUGGCCCACCAACUUUGGGAUCAGCUCCGUGGACCUUUCUAUGAUGGAUGACCACUCCCAUGCCUUUGACAUCAAGCCCUUCACCACCGUUGACUUCUCCAGCAUUUCCACUCCGCACUAUGAGGACAUUCCGUUCCCAAGAGCUGACCCGAUGGUUGCAGAUUAUAAGUAUGACCUGAAGCUCCAAGAGUACCAAAGUGCAAUCAAAGUGGAGCCUGUAUCCCCACCUUAUUAUUCUGAAAAGACUCAGCUGUACAGUAAGCCUCAUGAAGAGCCUUCCAACUCCCUCAUGGCCAUUGAAUGCCGGGUCUGUGGGGAUAAAGCGUCAGGGUUCCACUAUGGAGUUCAUGCUUGUGAAGGAUGCAAGGGUUUCUUCCGGAGGACAAUCAGAUUGAAACUUAUUUACGAUAGGUGUGAUCUUAACUGUCGGAUCCACAAGAAAAGUAGAAAUAAAUGUCAGUACUGUCGGUUUCAGAAGUGCCUUGCUGUGGGGAUGUCUCAUAAUGCCAUCAGGUUUGGGCGCAUGCCACAGGCCGAGAAGGAGAAGCUGUUAGCGGAGAUCUCCAGCGAUAUCGACCAACUGAACCCAGAGUCUGCUGACCUCCGGGCCCUGGCAAAGCAUUUGUAUGACUCGUACAUAAAGUCCUUCCCGCUGACCAAAGCAAAGGCGAGGGCGAUCUUGACGGGAAAGACGACAGACAAAUCACCGUUUGUUAUCUAUGACAUGAACUCCUUAAUGAUGGGAGAAGAUAAAAUCAAGUUCAAGCACAUCAGUCCCCUGCAGGAGCCCAGCAAAGAGGUGGCCAUCCGCAUCUUCCAGGGGUGUCAGUUUCGCUCCGUGGAAGCCGUGCAGGAGAUCACAGAGUACGCCAAGAAUAUCCCCGGCUUUGUGAACCUUGACUUGAACGACCAAGUAACUCUCCUAAAAUACGGCGUGCACGAGAUCAUUUACACGAUGCUGGCCUCCUUGAUGAAUAAGGAUGGGGUCCUCAUAUCCGAGGGCCAAGGAUUCAUGACAAGGGAGUUUCUAAAGAGCCUGCGAAAGCCCUUUGGUGACUUUAUGGAGCCCAAGUUCGAGUUUGCUGUGAAGUUCAACGCACUGGAAUUAGAUGACAGCGACUUAGCAAUAUUUAUAGCUGUCAUUAUUCUCAGUGGAGUCCUGAAGGAACAGUCACUUGGGAAGAUGGCUGAGGCGGUGUUCCGUCCCCCAAAGAGGAAGAGAAGAGUGCACGACAGCUAUGAGUCUCCCCUGCCCAUCCCUUGCGGUCAGGACCGUGGUCCUGAGAAGGACUUCCGAAUCUUCCGGGCUGAGAUGAUAAACAGCCAUGUGAUCGUGAGGGGCCUGGAAGACAUGGAGCAGCUCUACAGAAAGGGUUAUUUUGGAAAAGGCAUCCUGUCCAGAAGCCGACCAAACUUCACAAUCUCAGAUCCUAAGCUGGUUGCUAAAUGGAAAGAUAUGAAGCUAGACCUGCCGGUAAUCACAUCAAAGAAGUAUCAGCGUAGCGUGGAGUGGGCCGCAGAGCUCCUGCGAAGACAAGGCCGGGACGAGAGCAUGGUGCGCAGCGUCCUCGAGGGCUACACAAAGCCCCUCGAGCAUCCUCAUCUGAAAAUGAUGGAAGAGGUUCCUUUGGGCGAUGAGCCCAACUCCGAGGUGGUUUCCAAAUCAGAAGGCAGAGCAGACAGAGAGAAACUCUCUGCCGUGAAUGGGGUCGAGGGCAAGUCAUGUGAUCUGGAGGAUUCCAGCGAGCGAUCAAACAGCCCGCAGGAGGGCCCCGGGCCUGAGCCCCGAACCCCAGACGGCUCAGGUGAACAUGUGGCCGAGAUCCCCGCACCUCUGCCCCACGGCCACUGGGACGCUCUCCUUCUGCCAUCUGGUGGUCAGCCUGGGGACAGCAGCCAGAGAGCCGGUCUGGUUCCAGCCGGAGAGAGAGGGCCUGAGCAUGUGCUGGUGGAGGAAGCUGUGUGUGCCGGGAGCGAAGAGGUCCCAGCAGGGGAUGUGUUGCCGCAGAAGAGACUGGUAUGUAGGAGAAAUCCGUUCAGGAUCUUUGAGUAUCUGCAGCUCAGCCUAGAAGAGGCCUUCUUCCUGGUCUAUGCGCUGGGAUGUCUGAGUAUUUACUAUGAAAAGGAGCCUUUGACGAUCAUGAAGCUCUGGAACGCUUUCUCCACAGUUCAGCCCACGUUCAGGACGACCUACAUGGCAUACCAUCACUUCCGCAGCAAGGGCUGGGUGCCCAAGCCCGGACUUAAGUACGGAACAGAUUUGUUGCUGUAUCGAAAAGGCCCUCCGUUUUACCAUGCAAGUUACUCCGUCAUCGUGGAGCUGGUGGACGACCGUUUCCAGGGUGCUCCUCGCAGACCUCUCAGCUGGAGGUCCCUGGCUGCCUUGAGCAGAGUGUCAGUCAGUGUCUCCAAGGAACUUAUGCUGUGCUAUUUGAUUAAACCCUCCACCAUGACUGACAAGGACAUGGAGUCACCCGAAUGUAUGAAACAAAUUAAAGUUCAAGAGGUGAUUCUCAGCCGCUGGGUCUCUUCACGGGAGAGGAGUGACCAGGACGAACUUUAACAAUUCAGCC